AUUGAACGCUGGCGGCAUGCUUUACACAUGCAAGUCGAACGGCAGCACGGGAGCAAUCCUGGUGGCGAGUGGCGAACGGGUGAGUAAUGUAUCGGAACGUGCCCAGUCGUGGGGGAUAACGUAGCGAAAGCCACGCUAAUACCGCAUACGAUCUAUGGAUGAAAGCGGGGGAUCGCAAGACCUCGCGCGAUUGGAGCGGCCGAUAUCAGAUUAGGUAGUUGGUGGGGUAAAGGCUCACCAAGCCAACGAUCUGUAGCUGGUCUGAGAGGACGACCAGCCACACUGGGACUGAGACACGGCCCAGACUCCUACGGGAGGCAGCAGUGGGGAAUUUUGGACAAUGGGCGCAAGCCUGAUCCAGCAAUGCCGCGUGCAGGAAGAAGGCCUUCGGGUUGUAAACUGCUUUUGUACGGAACGAAACGGUCCUGGUUAAUACUGGGGGCUCAUGACGGUACCGUAAGAAUAAGCACCGGCUAACUACGUGCCAGCAGCCGCCGUAACAC
rnacentral:rRNA from 1 species